rnacentral:rRNA from 1 species
AGGGAAUAUUGCAAAAUGGGCGAAAGCCCGAUGCAGCAACGCCGCGUGGGCGAUGAAGGCCUUCGGGUCGUAAAGCCCUUUUUGAGGGGAUGAGGAAGGACAGUACCCUCAGAAUAAGCCUCGGCUAACUACGUGCCAGCAGCCGCGGUAAAACGUAGGAGGCGAGCGUUAUCCGGAUUUACUGGGCGUAAAGCGCGUGCAGGCGGAUUGGAGAGUUGGAUGUGAAAGCUCCCGGCUUAACUGGGAGAGGUCGUUCAAUACUUCCAGUCUUGAGUGCAGUAGAGGGAAGUGGAAUUCCGGGUGUAGUGGUGAAAUGCGUAGAUAUCCGGAGGAACACCAAUGGCGAAAGCGGCUUCCUGGACUGUAACUGACGCUCAGACGCGAAAGCUAGGGUAGCAAACGG